GAGCCCAUAGCUCAGCCGGUAGAGCAUCUGACUUUUAAUCAGAGGGUCGAUGGUUCGAAUCCAUCUGGGCUCA
rnacentral:tRNA from 1 species